rnacentral:rRNA from 1 species
CCAAUAGCGUAUAUUAAAGUUGUUGCAGUUAAAAAGCUCGUAGUUGAAUUUCGGGAUCAGAUUGUCGGUCGUGCCUCGGUACGCACUGGCAUUAUUGGUUCCUACCUUCUGAAGAACCGCGAUGUCAUUAAUUUGGUGUCGUGGGGAAUCAGGACUGUUACUUUGAAAAAAUUAGAGUGUUUAAAGCAGGCGCACGCUUGAAUACAUUAGCAUGGAAUAAUGAAAUAGGAGGUUUGAUUUUAUUUUGUUGGUUUCUAGGAUCGACGUAAUGAUUAAUAUGGAUAGUUGGGGGCAUUAGUAUUCAAUUGUCAGAGGUGAAAUUCUUGGAUUUAUUGAAGACUAACUACUGCGAAAGCAUUUGCCAAGGAUGUUUUCAUUAAUCAAGAACGAAAGUUAGGGGAUCGAAGACGAUCAGAUACCGUCGUAGUCUUAACCAUAAACUAUGCCGACUAGGGAUCGGAUGAUGUUAAUUUUAUAAUGACUCAUUCGGCGCCUUAC